rnacentral:rRNA from 1 species
AUGAGUGGCGAACGGGUGAGUAACACGUGAGUAACCUGCCCUCUUCUUCGGGAUAACGCCCGGAAACGGGUGCUAAUACUGGAUAUUCACUGAUCUUCGCAUGGGGGUUGGUGGAAAGGUUUUUUCUGGUGGGGGAUGGGCUCGCGGCCUAUCAGCUUGUUGGUGGGGUGAUGGCCUACCAAGGCUUUGACGGGUAGCCGGCCUGAGAGGGUGACCGGUCACAUUGGGACUGAGAUACGGCCCAG